UUAGAACUUGCUAGCCAGCUGGCUGUCACGCCGUUUUUCUCUCUUUUAAAAGCAACGUAAGUGUUUAAAUCACCUACAAUGGCAGCUGCCAAUAUUAGCUAACGAAUGAAUUAAUAAUCAAUCAUUCAAUAACUUUGCAGUUAUGUCAGCGCGUUACGUGUGCGCUUUUACCUAUGAAAUAUGUCGUAAGACACAUUUGUCAUGUCCCGUGCUUCAUUUUUCAUUAUAAAACGUAGCAUUCUCUUGCUUGCAAUGUGUACAUCUGCCUGGCUUGUUAACCAGAAUUAGUCACGUUAAAGGGUUUCUGGCCAGUUAAUUAUUAGCUAAUACGAUUAAUUUAAUCAUUUAUGUCCAAAGGUUUAAAAGAUGUGGCCUGACAGUCCAGCAGACAAACGUUUUACAUGAGUUAUAACAGCGUAGCUGUUUUUUUGCAUAAGUCUGUCAAAGAGUAAUGGCAUCUCGGUAGCUACUUUAAAAAUACAGGUGUUUAAAUUGCAUGAAAGGAACUUAAAAUGUAAGCACUGCAAUGGAGUGUGAGUACAUGUGUGUCCGGACACGCCGAGGGACCCCUACAAGUCAAAGGACAGGAGCAGGAAUCGAGCGGGUUCCAUAAAAUAUUGCUUUCUGCGGCAGGUGCUCUUGUUGCAAUUUUGCAGAGAUGAAGAGGAGGGCCGGCCCCAGCCAAAGCGGUCCUUCCUGCCACCGAGGCCUGCCUCGCAAAGUUCUGAGCUGCCGAUUCCUGAGUUGCCGUGCGGCCUUCUCGAGGGAACAGCGGGAGCGGAUUGGUCGGGCGCUGUAUGUAUUGUAUGAGAAAUGUAC